CCUACGGGGGGCAGCAGUGGGGAAUAUUGGACAAUGGGCGAAAGCCUGAUCCAGCCAUGCCGCGUGUGUGAAGAAGGUCUUCGGAUUGUAAAGCACUUUAAGUUGGGAGGAAGGGCAGUAAAUUAAUACUUUGCUGUUUUGACGUUACCGACAGAAUAAGCACCGGCUAACUCUGUGCCAGCAGCCGCGGUAAUACAGAGGGUGCAAGCGUUAAUCGGAAUUACUGGGCGUAAAGCGCGCGUAGGUGGUUAGUUAAGUUGGAUGUGAAAUCCCCGGGCUCAACCUGGGAACUGCAUUCAAAACUGACUGACUAGAGUAUGGUAGAGGGUGGUGGAAUUUCCUGUGUAGCGGUGAAAUGCGUAGAUAUAGGAAGGAACACCAGUGGCGAAGGCGACCACCUGGACUGAUACUGACACUGAGGUGCGAAAGCGUGGGGAGCAAACAGGAUUAGAUACCCGGGUAGUC
rnacentral:rRNA from 1 species